UUUUUAUUUUCAUUCUGCACAUUAUCCACGUUUAAUUUUAGAAUUACAUUUCUAUAAUCUUGCAUCAAUGUUAUAAAGAAACUUGACCGGUUGUAGCAUGUAGCCAACAAAUUGUGGGUAUCAUACAAGGUACACAUGUCGAUUAUAUCCAUUGAGAUUAAUCGAAUCCCUAUGCAUCAGUCUGUCUGGUCAAUCUUUGUGAUCUAUGUUUCUUUCUUUUAUUUUAUAUUUGUUCCUUUAUAAAAUUAAGUGACUAAUCUAUACUAGUUGCUUAACAUAUAAGAGGAACACCAUUUCUUUUUAUGUGUGCUUGUUUAUGAGCUUCAAUAGAAAUCAGGUCUUUUAGGGUUCCUUGUUGUGUCAUAAGGACUAAUGUGUAAACCCAAUUCAAGUGAUUUCGAUUUUGAACACUCAACUUGAUAGACAAAGCUGUCAAUGGAGAGAUUACGAGGUGAACACGAGCGAAGGUAAGGGAGAGAUAUUGUUUUCACUAACUCUUGUCUUUUUAGGAACUCUGCAAUGUCUCAACAAAGCGCCAACAGUUGACUAACCACCAUGGAAGAAAGGGUCCUGGACAUGUUCACCAAGUUAAGUGUCCAAUUAGGAAACAUAGCUACCUACAUGGAUCGCUAAGAGCGCGACAACACUGCAAUUACGCCUGACGCCAAAUAGUGCGAGAUGAAAUAGGAUCUUAUGGCGAUGACGUUGGUGACAGACAUGGAGAUCGUCGCGAAGAGGCGGAUGGGGACCUCCAUGAUUAAAGUUCUAGAUACUAGCCUUUUAAGGAAGAAUGACCCCGACGCCUACCUCGAGUGG
rnacentral:lncRNA from 1 species